rnacentral:rRNA from 1 species
GUGGGGAAUAUUGCACAAUGGGCGCAAGCCUGAUGCAGCCAUGCCGCGUGUAUGAAGAAGGCCUUCGGGUUGUAAAGUACUUUCAGCGAGGAGGAAGGCGUUGUGGUUAAUAACCACAGCGAUUGACGUUACUCGCAGAAGAAGCACCGGCUAACUCCGUGCCAGCAGCCGCGGUAAUACGGAGGGUGCAAGCGUUAAUCGGAAUUACUGGGCGUAAAGCGCACGCAGGCGGUUUGUUAAGUCAGAUGUGAAAUCCCCGGGCUCAACCUGGGAACUGCAUUUGAAACUGGCAAGCUUGAGUCUCGUAGAGGGGGGUAGAAUUCCAGGUGUAGCGGUGAAAUGCGUAGAGAUCUGGAGGAAUACCGGUGGCGAAGGCGGCCCCCUGGACGAAGACUGACGCUCAGGUGCGAAAGCGUGGGGAGCAAACAGGAUUAGAAACCCCAGUAGUCC